GUGGCGACGGGUGAGUAACACGUGAGUAACCUGCCCUUAACUCUGGGAUAAGCCUUGGAAACGGGGUCUAAUACUGGAUAUUGACUUUUCCUCGCAUGGGGAUUGGUUGAAAGAUUUAUUGGUUUUGGAUGGACUCSCGGCCUAUCAGCUUGUUGGUGAGGUAAUGGCUCACCAAGGCGACGACGGGUAGCCGGCCUGAGAGGGUGACCGGCCACACUGGGACUGAGACACGGCCCAGACUCCURSGGGAGGCAGCAGUGGGGAAUAUUGCACARUGGGCGAAAGCCUGAUGCAGCGACGCCGCGUGAGGGAUGACGGCCUUCGGGUUGUAAACCUCUUUCAGUAGGRAACAAGGCCAGUGUUUAGCUGGUUGAGGGUACUUGCAGAAGAAGCGCCGGCUAACUACGUGCCAGCAGCCGCGGUAAUACGUAGGGCGCAAGCGUUAUCCGGAAUUAUUGGGCGUAAAGAGCUCGUAGGCGGUUUGUCGCGUCUGCCGUGAAAAGUCCGGGGGCUCAACUCCGGAUCUGCGGUG
rnacentral:rRNA from 1 species